rnacentral:rRNA from 1 species
CCGCGUGUGUGAUGAAGGUCUUCGGGUUGUAAAGCACUUUCAGUUGUGAGGAAAGGGUGUAAUUUAAUAAAUUAUAUCUGUGACGUUAACAACAGAAGAAGCACCGGCUAACUUCGUGCCAGCAGCCGCGGUAAUACGAGGGGUGCAAGCGUUAAUCGGAAUUACUGGGCGUAAAGCGUUCGUAGGCGGUUAUUUAAGCAAGAUGUGAAAGCCCAGGGCUCAACCUUGGAACUGCAUUUUGAACUGGGUAACUAGAGUACUGUAGAGGGUGGUGGAAUUUCCAGUGUAGCGGUGAAAUGCGUAGAGAUUGGAAGGAACAUCAGUGGCGAAGGCGGCCACCUGGACAGAUACUGACGCUGAGGAACGAAAGCGUGGGGAGCGAACAGGAUUAGAUACCCUGGUAGUCCACGCCGUAAACGAUGUCAACUAGCCGUUCGUAGACUUGAUCCGUGAGUGGCGCAGCUAACGCACUAAGUUGACCGCCUGGGGAGUACGGCCGCAAGGUUAAAACUCAAAUGAAUUGACGGGGGCCCGCACAAGCGGUGGAGCAUGUGGUUUAAUUCGAUGCAACGCGAAGAACCUUACCAUCCCUUGACAUCCUCAGAAGCCAGUAGAGAUACAGGCGUGCCUUCGGGAACUGAGUGACAGGUGCUGCAUGGCUGUCGUCAGCUCGUGUUGUGAAAUGUUGGGUUAAGUCCCGCAACGAGCGCAACCCCUAUCCUUAUUUGCCAGCGCGUUAUGGCGGGAACUCUAACGAGACUGCCGGUGAUAAACCGGAGAGUGGGACGACGUCAGUCAUCAUGGCCCUUACGGAUGGGCUACACACGUGCUACAUGGCAGGUACAGAGGGCAGCAAUACCGCGAGGUUGAGCGAAUCUCACAAAGCUUGUCGUAG